UACGGAAGGCAGCAGUGGGGAAUAUUGCACAAUGGGCGAAAGCCUGAUGCAGCUAUGCCGCGUGUAUGAAGAAGGCCUUAGGGUUGUAAAGUACUUUCAUCGGGGAAGGAAAAACAAAACUAAUAAUUUUAUUUCUUGACGUUAACCCGAAAAAGAAGCACCGGCUAACUCCGUGCCAGCAGCCGCGGUAAUACGGAGGGUGCUAGCGUUAAUCAGAAUUACUGGGCGUAAAGAGCACGUAGGUGGUUUUUUUAAGUCAGAUGUGAAAUCCCUGGGCUUAACCUAGGAACUGCAUUUUGAAACUGAAAUACUAGAGUAUCGUAGAGGGAGGUAGAAUUCUAGGUGUAGCGGUGAAAUGCGUAGAUAUCUGGAGGAAUACCUGUGGCGAAAGCGGCCUCCUAAACGAAUACUGACACUGAGGUGCGAAAGCGUGGGGAGACAAACAGGAUUAGAUACC
rnacentral:rRNA from 1 species